rnacentral:rRNA from 1 species
AGGCGGUCUUCUAAGUCUGAUGUGAAAUCUCGUGGCUUAACCACGAGCGGUCAUUGGAAACUGGGAGACUUGAGUACAGAAGAGGAGAGUGGAAUUCCACGUGUAGCGGUGAAAUGCGUAGAUAUGUGGAGGAACACCAGUGGCGAAGGCGACUCUCUGGUCUGUAACUGACGCUGAGGAGCGAAAGCGUGGGGAGCGAACAGGAUUAGAUACCCUGGUAGUCCACGCCGUAAACGAUGAGUGCUAGGUGUUGGAUCCUUUCCGGGAUUCAGUGCCGCAGCUAACGCAUUAAGCACUCCGCCUGGUCGACGCGGCCGCAAGGUUGAAACUCAAAGGAAUUGACGGGGACCCGC